rnacentral:rRNA from 1 species
ACGCUCGACACCUACGGGAGGCAGCAGUCGGGAAUAUUGCGCAAUGGAGGAAACUCUGACGCAGUGACGCCGCGUGCAGGAAGAAGGUUUUCGGAUUGUAAACUGCUUUAGACAGGGAAGAAAAAAGACAGUACCUGUAGAAUAAGCUCCGGCUAACUACGUACCAGCAGCCGCGGUAAUCUGAGCGGGCUGGCAAGGC